UAUUGAAGGCUUUAAGUU
rnacentral:tRNA from 2 species